UGGCGGCGUGGCGAAGUGACCUGUAACGCCAUUGCCAUACGUUUGGCUCUAAAUUCCACAGUUUCGGGCCGAGCUGCUCCAAACACACUGGGCUGGAUCCUUAUCCACCCGCCGACAGGAAUCCAUAACAAACUUUGGUGGGCGUGGCCUCAUUUAUCUAUAGCGCCCCCUAGAAUAUUUUAAAUGAUCAGCCCCAUGUUUUAACCUAGAAUUACGAAACUUGGUACACAUGUGUAUCUUGUCAGGACGUACAAAAAAGUAUCUUGGAGCCAUGGUCUAAACCCAACAGAAAGACAGCCAUUUUGAAUCUAAGCCGUCAUUUUCUCUUUUUUAUAGACGUGUAUCUGAUCGAACUCCUACAGUUUUUCAAAUACAGACGUCACAAUCACUCAGCAGACACUUGAGGGAUCAAAGGUCAAAAGUUAUCAGAGCAUUUCUCAUACAUCAAAGCAUGUGGGCGUGGCUAAGUGUCAAACUUUGACUUUUCGCAAUGAAACAUCAAGGUUUAAUAACUUCCACAUACAAGGUUAAAGCUGCAUCAGCCUUCAUAUGUCUCACUACAGACCAGUCCUGAUCACAUUGCCAUGGUAGUUGAUGACAUCACCUUAGCCCUGCCCAUUUCCCACAGGAAGUCAGCUGUUUUUCUGCUGUAUGCCUUACUUUUUCUCUUUUAUUUAUAUGGGUUUAAUCAUGUGCAAACUGACUUAAAAUGAUAAGAUGAUGAACUCUGCCAAUGCUUGCUGCUGGCUGAACAGUGGUGUUCAAAUGGUGAAUAUCAGUCUCUCGCCAUAUUCAUACCAUUGUCUUUAAAUCACACAUGGAUGAUCCGAUUGGCACCAAACUCGAUAUGUAUGACCUUUGUUCACCUCUAAAGAGCCCAACAGCAUUAAAAUGUAAUUUGACUCCACUGCGCCCCCUAGGUUAAUACAUCAGCUACAUCUCCUUGCUACAUUGACCGAUCUGCACCAGAUUUUUUGUGAGUCAUCGGGGAGCGCUGCCGAACGCAUAAUGUGUAUCGCCUGGUGGACGGGCGGGGAAAAUACGUGACAGCUUCUGUGGUGGCGAGCGGGCGGCGGUGCUGGAACCCCCGCAGUGGCCAUUAGGCCGGAGCGACGCUGAGCUGCAAGGGCCGUACGAGGCUGCUCGCAUCUUUAAUUAUUUUACUUGUUUUGAUGAGCACUAGUACUUGUACUGUCACUUUAAGAGAGCGUCUUAUGACAUCAGUACUGUACUACCUUCAGGUGGCGCUAGCUAGGCUGCCUGAGAAGAGGCCUCUGCCAGCAACCUGCAUUAAAGAACAACCAGCAACUCCUGUGGUCCGACUCCCUUCUUCACCUGAACACAACACAGAACACAUCAAGGGACUGAGGCUCCUCUGGUGGCGGUGUCUUGUUUUGUGUGUUUAUUUUAUUGGAGCACCUUUUUCUUUGUUUGCUACGGAGCCCCGUAAUUGGCUGUGUUUUGUAGUGUCUUGGGGGAUUCUUCUUUCUUCACUGGAUGUUGCUUCCUUCCCUCACGACUUUCCCCACUGGUAAGUCUCAGUCUCCGUUAAGAUUUAAA